UACGAAGGGGGCUAGCGUUGCUCGGAAUCACUGGGCGUAAAGCGCACGUAGGCGGAUUGUUAAGUCAGGGGUGAAAUCCUGGAGCUCAACUCCAGAACUGCCUUUGAUACUGGCGAUCUCGAGUCCGGGAGAGGUGAGUGGAACUGCGAGUGUAGAGGUGAAAUUCGUAGAUAUUCGCAAGAACACCAGUGGCGAAGGCGGCUCACUGGCCCCGGU
rnacentral:rRNA from 1 species